rnacentral:rRNA from 1 species
UGGGGAAUCUUGCGCAAUGGGCGAAAGCCUGACGCAGCAACGCCGCGUGGGGGAUGAAGGCUCUCGGGUUGUAAACCCCUUUCAGCAGGGACGAAUUCAGACGGUACCUGCAGAAGAAGCCCCGGCUAACUACGUGCCAGCAGCCGCGGUAACACGUAGGGGGCAAGCGUUGUCCGGAUUUAUUGGGCGUAAAGAGCUCGUAGGCGGCUGAGUAAGUCGGAUGUUAAAUCCCCAGGCUCAACCUGGGACACCACCCGAUACUGCUCUGGCUAGAGUCCGGUAGGGGAGCGUGGAAUUCCUGGUGUAGCGGUGAAAUGCGCAGAUAUCAGGAGGAACACCAGCGGCGAAGGCGGCGCUCUGGGCCGGAACUGACGCUGAGGAGCGAAAGCGUGGGUAGCAAACAGGAUUAGAUACCCCCGUAGUCC